rnacentral:lncRNA from 1 species
CUUCGAAUGUCACUAGAACGGUGUUGCCUUUUGUCCCAAUGGGCCUCGCUGAUGCGAUUUUUCGACCCUUGCAGGUGAUGUCGGCCUGUAGUGAUUCAGGCGUCACCGUGUUUCCUUGGCCCAGGAGUGAAAGAGUUCACCUCUUUCUUUCCAAUGGAGCGCAGCACGACAGUCUGCGUCGGAUGUGAGGUGUUGCACCCAGGAGUGGCCAUUCUUCAAAGUCUAUAUCUUCAGCAUUCCGCAGGCCGGGCUGUUCCAUCCCGUGUUUUGUAGAUGAGCCGCCAUUACUCCCCGACGUGCUGUCUUGGGGCGUUCCUUGCGAGGGCC